GAACCAAACCAGGCCGGACCCUUUAUAAAACGUUCCCUUCCAAAUGCCCGCCCUUCAGGGACAGAAAGGGAAGAGACUAGUUUUGUUUUAUUUCUUUCUGUUUUUCUCCCUUGAGAGUGAAACAAGGAGCAGGUCGGGAAGGUUUUUAAUUUGGGUUCCCUCUUCCUUGAUUGACAGAAAGAAAAGAGAAGUUUUUGCUCUUUCUUUCUUUCUUUCUUUCUUUCUUUCUUUCUUCAGAGUAAACAGAGGGCAGGUGAAGAAGGUUUUUAACUUGGCUACCACUUCCUUCAUCGACAGAGAGAGAAGAAUAUUAGUUUUGUUCUUUCUUUCUCUUUUCAGAGUAAAAGAGGGGGCAGGUGAGGCAGUUGUCAGGGAUGAUGAUGAUGGUGAAUGAUUAUGCUAAUUAAUUUAAAUUAAGGAGUGCACGCAAGAGCUAAAGAGGACGUUUCUUAGGGAAGAAAGGAGAAUCUUGGUGCACACUCUAGAAAUGUUUUCGGUGAACUGGAAAUUGUGUUUCUUGGUUCUUCUGGGGAAUCUUCUAGUUCGAGAUCAUCCAAAAUCUGGAAUCAUCAUCAUCAUCAAAUUGAUUUUGAAAUUGAUGAUUCUUCAAUGAACGUUUUCUUUCUAAAGUAUAUUGAUAGAUCCAGAAACUAAGCAGUUGUGAAGUGGUCAACCAACAUAUCCCAUAUCCCUUAUUUUCCGUCUGUCCAUUAUCUUUCACUAUCCUAUUUUCUUUUUAAUUACCUUAGAAGUAGGGAAUAGCAGUUAGUAUUUUCUGUAUUUGAAGUAUGAAAAAUUAAUGAAAAGAAAGAUGAAGUUUAUUCCAGAAAACCAGCGGUAAUUUUCUCACCCAAAGCAGAAAAACUCAUUUAAUUUCACUCUUGCUCUGACUGGGACCUAUCAAUUGGUAUCAGAGCCAUGGUUACCGAGGAAAAAAGAAUAGAAAAACUAGAAAUCAGUCUGGAAGGAAUACAAAACCGUUUGAGCCAAUGGAGAUCGGGUUCGCCAAGAAAUUCUAUCUGAUCGAAGAUUGCCUCCAGCGGCUUGCGGACACUCUGAAGAUGAACGGAGAGGGCUCCAGUAGCAAUAUUAUAGACUGCCCUGGACAGACACAAACCAACUACAAUGAGCCGAAACCGCCCAUGUGAAUGGCGAUCUACACAUUACCACUACCGACAGUUGAAUUACAGAACAUAAUUGUCGAAAACAUUCAGAAUGAUUGUGAUAAAAGCGCCGCCGAGGAAGAAAGAAGUUCAGAUUCUACACUUGAUUUCUACUGUGGUGAGCCGGGCAAGAUGAGGUUCCCCUUCUAUUCCAACAGUGUAAACUCUACUUGUAGCCCGUUCAAGUUAAACUGUAGUGGGUUAAGUCAGACGAUACAACUAGUGGAGGGAGGAAGAUGGUAUGACGUGGAAAUGGAUACAAAAAAGGGACGAUGGCGACGACCAGCAUCAACUGCGUGCAGCAGUACCUUCUUCAUUGCGGUUGUCUUAUUUGUCAUCUCUAUACUCCCGCGAUACCCAAAAAAAGGGAAAAGGUGAAAACGGAAGAGGAAGAAGGCGACCUGUGGAAGAUAUAGUGUUGCUGGGGUUGUUGGGAAGUUUUUAGCGAACAUAUUCUAAGUUGGGUUUGUGGGAGAUAUAGUGAAAUCUGUCAUGAGUUGGGAAGAAAGAAAAUCAGUAAAGGCGCUAGGCAAUGAUAGGGAGAACCCAAGAUUGAUUCCCUAUGGGGUACCCUUUUUUUCUUCCAAUCUUCCUUUGUAGUUUUUAUUGUGAACCCAAUUCACUUUGAACCUUUAUUUUUGGACUCCAAUCUUAAUUAAACAAUUGAAAUUUGUUUUUGUUGGAAUGUAAUUUUGAGAAUUGUAAUUUUGAGAAUUUAUAUCUACCUUCGUGAUUUUAA